CCUACGGGCGGCAGCAGUGAGGAAUAUUGGUCAAUGGUCGGGAGACUGAACCAGCCAAGCCGCGUGAGGGAUGAAGGUACAGAGUAUCGUAAACCUCUUUUGUCAGGGAACAAAGGCGGGGACGUGUCCCCGGAUGAGUGUACCUGAAGAAAAAGCAUCGGCUAACUCCGUGCCAGCAGCCGCGGUAAUACGGAGGAUGCGAGCGUUAUCCGGAUUUAUUGGGUUUAAAGGGUGCGCAGGCGGUCUGUUAAGUCAGCGGUCAAAGCCCGGGGCUCAACCCCGGCCCGCCGUUGAAACUGGCAGUCGCGAGUUGGAGAGAAGUAUGCGGAAUGCGCGGUGUAGCGGUGAAAUGCAUAGAUAUCGCGCAGAACUCCGAUUGCGAAGGCAGCAUGCCGGCUCCACACUGACGCUGAGGCACGAAAGCGUGGGUAUCGAACAGGAGUAGAUACCCGUGUAGUC
rnacentral:rRNA from 1 species